rnacentral:lncRNA from 1 species
CUUCUAGUGAGUUUCUCAUGGCUUUUUGACCCUGCAAAGCUUUUCGAUUAUACCUUGAUUUUAACAGUUGUUGCUCAAAAGAAAGCCAAGAAACCAUAGGGCGGUGCCGCCACGCUUCUGCCACCGGUGGCGGGUCUUCGAAGAAAUUGAAUAACAACUAUUCAAUUUCACGCCAUUUGGUUUGUCUUCGAUUUUAAUUUUUAAUCGCUUGUUCGUCUUCUCCGAUGUUUAUUCGCAAUUAUCUUUUAUUUCCUUUCUUUUUUUUGUGUAAAUUUCUUGAAUUAAAUUGGUCAUUGUCCAGUUUUCAUUUUUCAUGUCCCGAAUGUUACUAUUCUUACCAAACAACAGUAACAUAUGUUGAAUAAGUCAAUUCAUUGAAUUAGUUAUAUCCAUUCUUACGGUGAAAUAUCUUGUAUGAUUAAAUUGAUUGACUACAAGAUCUUGUCUUGUUUGUUGUUUUGUUAGUCCAAUUAAUUUUCUUUUUCUGUUUUUUUUAUAAUCUGUUUUUUGAUAAUUUGAUAAUCUGUUUUUUUCUUUUUCUUUUUCUUUUGUUUUUUUUAAUUUGACUUUCAUUUUUGAAGAUACUAGAACUUGGUGAGUGUAUGAAGAUGAAAGCAGAGCAAUGAAUUUGAAGAUUCUGAUAUGUCAACUGAAGAGUUACUUGAUCAGGAGGAGGAGGACGUGUUUUGGUUGGUUUUAGUCAUCAUCAAUCUUAAGACUUUUGGUUGGUUGUUUUCAAACGAAAUCAGAAGCUUUUGAUGCUUUUAUGAUCCUUUAAUAGUUUUCGAUAAAUUUUAUAGUGAAUUUCGACGAGUGUCUUGUGGAUCUCAUAGUGGUUUUCGAUAAUUUAUAGUGGAUUUUGUUUGAAUUUUCACGUUAAUUUCAUAGUGCUUUAACGAAAAUUCAUAGUAGUUUUCGAUGUUUAUAUAGUUGUGUAUACAUAGUGGUUUCAUGUUUAUAUAGUUGUUUAUACAUAGUGGUUUUUAUGUUUAUAUAGUUGUUUAUACUGAGUGGUUUU